CCUACGGGCGGCAGCAGUGGGGAAUAUUGGACAAUGGGCGAAAGCCUGAUCCAGCCAUGCCGCGUGUGUGAAGAAGGCCUUCGGGUUGUAAAGCACUUUCAGUGGGGAAGAAAGCCUUGGGGCUAAUACCCUCGAGGAAGGACAUCACCCACAGAAGAAGCACCGGCUAACUCCGUGCCAGCAGCCGCAGGUAAUACGGAGGGUGCGAGCGUUAAUCGGAAUUACUGGGCGUAAAGCGCGCGUAGGCGGUCUGAUAAGCCGGUUGUGAAAGCCCCGGGCUCAACCUGGGAACGGCAUCCGGAACUGUCAGGCUAGAGUGCAGGAGAGGAAGGUAGAAUUCCCGGUGUAGCGGUGAAAUGCGUAGAGAUCGGGAGGAAUACCAGUGGCGAAGGCGGCCUUCUGGACUGACACUGACGCUGAGGUGCGAAAGCGUGGGUAGCAAACAGGAUUAGAUACCCGGGUAGUC
rnacentral:rRNA from 1 species